rnacentral:rRNA from 1 species
GAUGAACGCUGGCGGCGUGCCUAAUACAUGCAAGUCGAGCGAACAGACGAGGAGCUUGCUCCUCUGACGUUAGCGGCGGACGGGUGAGUAACACGUGGAUAACCUACCUAUAAGACUGGGAUAACUUCGGGAAACCGGAGCUAAUACCGGAUAAUAUAUUGAACCGCAUGGUUCAAUAGUGAAAGACGGUUUUGCUGUCACUUAUAGAUGUAUCCGCGCCGCAUUAGCUAGUUGGUAAGGUAACGGCUUACCAAGGCAACGAUGCGUAGCCGACCUGAGAGAGUGAUCGGCGACACUGGAACUGAGACACGGUCCAGACUCCUACGGGAGGCAGCAGUAGGGAAUCUUCCGCAAUGGGCGAAAGCCUGACGGAGCAACGCCGCGUGAGUGAUGAAAGUCUUCGGAUCGUAAAACUCUGUUAUUAGGGAAGAACAAAUGUGUAAGUAACUAUGCACGUCUUGACGGUACCUAAUCAGAAAGCAACGGCUAACUACGUG